AUAUCAAUCACAAUUAUUGUUUUAUUAACGAUAAUGUAUGGUUAUUUUCGAUUGUAAUAAUCAAUAACCAAUUCAUUUACUGUACAUAUAUGUGCUUUUAUAAAGUGAUAAAUAAUUAAUCAUGAAAUGUAGACAUUAUUCUCACGAGUCAUGACUGUAUAUAUCAAACAUUCAAUGUCAUAAAUAAAAGACAAGUAGAUCAACAACUCGCAACGUUAUAUUUUAUAGUUGCGACUGGAGGUUACAAAUAUAAAGUCAUGACUGUAUAUAUCAAACAUUCAAUGUCAUAAAUAAAAGACAAGUAGAUCAACAACUCGCAACGUUAUAUUUUAUAGUUGCGACUGGAGGUUACAAAUAUAAAAGCCGCAUAUAUACAUUAGUCAUUACUGCAUUAAUUAUACAUAAGACCCAAACAAAUCUUUUACAUUGCUUACAACUUAUCUUGAAAGGCUUGAAAUAAUAUCAUACAAUUUGAAAGUGACAAUAAAUAAGCAUUUACUUAUUUUCCCACUGUGCAAUUAAUUGUAGUUUUAAUAAUUAAAAGGUAAAAAGUUUGUAUACGGAUUAUUCACAUGUACGUAUUAAUCUUCAUCGUCAUUUAUACGUCAUUAGCUAG
rnacentral:lncRNA from 1 species